ACUCACAGGGCUCUGCCUGCAGAACAGAACCUGCCUUUGGUUGUCGGCGCCACCAGCUUUCUCACUGCACGACUCCGAGCCUCAGUCUCCCCAUCUGUAAAACAGGAAUGCACGGCGAGGGCCUGGCCGGUGCUCAUCCCUCCACAGAUGGGGUCAGGGGCGCUUCCCGACCAGUACAUGGAUGUGCAGAUGUGCUCAGACAUUGGCACACGCGCGCUUCGCCGCCUUCUUCGAGCGGCCUGCCUGGGACGCUUCUCUGCCCGCUCGCCGCUUCUAGACUCCUCUGGCCUCCCCGGCCAGGUGGAGGCCGGAGGGUCCUGCCGGGCUGUGGCCUCCCUUGGCGGAUGCGGUCGCCCCGAACCUCGGUUUCCCCAUCCGCAGACAGCGUCCCCUCCAGGGGUUUCUCGCGGCGGCCACAGGAAGCAUCUGGAGUUCUGGGUCGAUUCUGAAGCCACAGCCUCUGUCGGGACGUCAUCCGGAACUCCGGCUGGGUGGUUCCUGAGUCUACACAGCGUGGGCGUCGGCCGGUACGCAGCGGGGUGGAAGCGAAGGGGGGGAUGAUGGUUCACGGGGAGACUCACCCUCAGAGGCCCCACGGUAGGUGGGGCCUGUCCCCGCAGUGAGAGAUCAAGGUCCGUCAGAGCUGGUGAUGGACCACGGAAUGCAGAGUCACGGCCGUGUGUGUGCAAGACAGGCUGAGGACAGGGGAAGGGCUGGGGUGCAGAGGGGCGGCCUGGGGCAGCCGGGCAGCGUGUGCAGCUGAGCCCCAGGUGGGCAGCUGACUCUGCCUUCUGCAGAAACCCUAGCGGCCAGGAUCUCAUCGCCAGGGGUUGUGGGGCCAGUGGAAGUCAUACAACUUGGUGACGGCGGGGAAGUGGCCAGACCUCCACCUGCCCUGGUUUCUUUCUCUGUAGAAUGGGCACAACUGUAGUUACUUUGUCAUUUGCUGCGAGAUGAAAUGAAGCGUCAGGGCAGAGGGCUGCCCUCACGCCAUUCACAGAGGCUGGGCCGUCAACCUUGGGGCCAUUUCUGUCAAUUCGAGGAUAUCCCAGCACUGCCCUUUGUGAGUUGUCUGACAUUGGGCAAGCUUCUGAAGCCCUGUCCCUCAGCAUCCUCGCCUGUGAGGGUAAAUAUAUAGCUCUAUUUCACAGGACUGGGGGUACCAUGGUCAACCUAUGGAGAGCCCAUGGAACAAUGUCUGGUGGG
rnacentral:lncRNA from 1 species